rnacentral:rRNA from 1 species
AGAGUUUGAUCCUGGCUCAGGACGAACGCUAGCGGCGUGCCUAAGGUAUGCAAGUCGAACGGGGGCUUCGGCCCUAGUGUGCGAACGGUCGAGUAACACGUAGACAACCUGCCCGCAAGUGGGGRAUAACAGCUCGAAAGGGCUGCUAAUACCGCAUGUGGUCUGGGAGCGCCUGCUCUCGGUACUAAAGAUUUAUUGCUUGCGGAUGGGUCUGCGGCCUAUCAGCUAGUUGGCGGGGUAACGGCCCACCAAGGCGACGACGGGUAGCGGGYCUGAGAGGAUGAUCCGCCGGACGGGGACUGAGACACGGCCCCGACUCCUUCGGGAGGCAGCAAUGAGGAAUAUUGCACAAUGGGCGAAAGCCUGAUGCAGCGACGCCGCGUGGGUGAGGAAGUUCUUCGGAAUGUAAAGCCCUUUUGUCGGGGACGAUCCAAGACGGUACCCGACGAAUAAGCCCCGGCUAAUCUACGUGCCAGCAGCCGCGGUAAUACGUAKGGGGCAAGCGUUGUCCGGAUUUACUGGGCGUAAAGRGCGCGUAGCGGACGUUUAAGUGUGGCCUGAAAGCCCCCGGCUCAACCGGGGAUCCCGGGUUGCAAACUGGACGU